AUUGAGUGUCAUGAAAAUGAUUGUUUCGACGGGACAGGUUGUUCAAGUAGAGAAAGUAAAAAAGACCACCCAGUGUCCUCCUUAGAGAUUGUGUCAGUUGAUGAGUCUGAAGAGAUACUAGAUGGUCAGAGUUCUCACCCUCUAGCAGGAAUUCAUUUAAUUGCUCUUGUGGAAGUGAAUUUUGAGUGUCAUGAAAGUGAUUGUUUUGACAAGGUCAAGUGAUUUAACAGGUAGAGAAAGUAAAGAAGAUGCGCGGAGAUAACUCUUGAAUGGAAUUUGCAGCAUGAAUUAAAUCACAAAUGGAAAGACUUUUUUGAUCAUAUUCCAUUACGAGUGGUCAGUCCAUCUGAUAUGGAUAUUGUAAUAAGUAAUUUUGAACUAAGCAGCUACCAAUCUACAAACUUUUCGGCAAUGGACUUUUAAGAUAACUCUGAUAUUUUUGACAAUCAACUUGAUGAUGAUGCUGGUAUACUGGUGUCACCACCUAAAGUGGCUAGUCCUAAAGACCUUGAUAUUACAGAACUGGAGUUUAGAAAUUUAGAAAUGAUAAUACUUUACUUGAGGACUGCAGUAAAGAUGAAUAUACAGUUGGUGCUGAGGUUCAGGAUAAGCCCUGCUCCGCUAUUGAACAUGGGCUCAAUCCUGAUCAAUCUCUGGUUUGUCACUCAGAUGAUUCACCGAAUAUGAGGAGAAGUAAUCUUUUGAUUCCGUAUGUGAUGAUGAUAUUGGUACACAAAGUGGCUAGUCAUGAAGAACUUGACUGUGCAGAACACGCAAAGGAGCACUGCAAUUUACUGAACUGACUGAUAAUGGUGAUGCUGAAGGGCUCAAGAUAUCAGGAGAACUCAAGUUUUUGGUUCAUUAUUGGCCCAAUCUAUCAAUUGGCAAAAAUGGCUGUCAAAAGUGCGACAAAAGCUGAAGAAGGUACAAAACGGUGGCUGUCUUUCAUGUUAAGGGAUUGUAACCGUUUCUGUAAAAUAAUGGUAUCGAUCUGCUGAGGACUGCUGCUGCUUGACCCCCUAGUUCCAUCAGUAUAAAGACAAACGCAACCAUACAACGGUAUGACAUAUUUCUUUUGGAAUGGUGGUAAGGCUAAGAGUUUCACACUCCUAAGAGGGGUUUACAACAGGGUGAUCCUCUUGUCUCCCUAACUUUUUGUUCUCUGCAUGGAGAGAUUUGCAGAAAUAAUUGCCAAUGAAAUUAAUGAUUGCUAAUAGAUGGCCGCCUAUCCAGCGCUUUUGCCUUAUGUUCACUAUCAUGACAUGCAUUGGAGUAUCAAUAAUC